UUGUCUAAUUUGCCGCUCAAAUGCACAACUAAAAUUUGCUAUCGCCAUUCCGCACGUUGUUGGUGCCCAGUUGAGUCGAAAUUUAUUUACGGUGUAGUCUGACAGUCUGAGUCAAUGGAUUCCCAACGAAUUCAGUUAUCUGCUCUUGGUCGCGACGUGAAAGUCGGAAACCUUUACAACUACCAUUCCGACGCCAUUUCCAUUUGCAAUGUCAGAGUUCCCCAGGAAUCCAUAUCAAUCACCAAGAAAUUGACAUCCGAAACAGAUACGUGGUUUCACCUGCCUCAGCAAUCGAUCCGUUCAAAGUACGAAGCCCUAGGCAUCAAUGCGCACUUGUGCAUCAGCAUUCUUAGCAAAAAGUCUGCGGACUUGGGUCAACUUUGGUUCGGCGAUCUUGAUUCGGAAUUAAGAAAAGUAAAAGAAGACGAGAAUGUUCGCGUCACUCAAAAUCCCUUCGUAGCUCGAGUCACUUUCUUUUUCCGAGUCUGCCGACGAAUCGAAGUUCUUUGUCCAAAAUUCAUCGACUGGAAACUCAACGAAUACCAGAUGCAAAGUGGUGGUGUGGCAACUCAUUUGGUGGAGCAGGUUAUUUAUGGAGCCGAAUUUAUUUGUACCAUGGAGCGAACCAUCGAUCGCCAGCACGAAACGAAGGAGAACGCGCAACGGAAUCUUUACUUGGCAGCCAAAGAAUACUUCAAUCAAGUCUUUGGUCGGAAUUCCACUGAUCCAGAUUUACCUGCAGCUUUAGACAAGGUUCAAUGUCAAAUCCUAAGCAGCCUCAAUCCUGGCAAAGAAGUUGAUGGAUCUUUCCAGCAAUCCAUUCAACAUCUUAUUGAUGCGAUGAGUUUUGAUAAUGACGACGGUCAUUGGAAACCUGUUGAAAUUACUUUACGAAACAUACCGGAACAAAUGGAAUCUCGACUUCGGUUAGAGAGGGAUUGUGAUGCCAAGAUUAUAAGGAAAAUGCAUGAACGGAAGCUUGAACGGAUCUUGGAUGGAAAUGGCGCAUUGAAAGUUGCCCAUCUUAAAAUAUUUCCUCAAUUCCAAGACGUUAUAUACCAGUUCUGUUAUUUGCUGGAGCCCCUAAGGCAGAAAAUUAAGAGAUUUCACGAGACUACUCCCGAACCGAAACAUUGAAGAAAGACAAAUCUCCAACUUAUUCAGUGAUAUGAUGGAUUGGCAGAUUCAUCGACGUUCUGAAAUGGACAAGAUUUUUUGGCUAAUCGAAGGCAUCCAAUUGAAAAUGUUGGAUAUGGCAGAGAUCGUGAUGCUUACGGCAACCAACAAACCAAAUCGAGCCAAAGUGUUUGUGUUGAGAGCCGAAUUCUAUCCAGUUCCACUAAUUGAGUCCAUUUAUGCAUAUAUUGGUAAUCCUUCGGCAAUAAGUGCCCCUCUUCCGGUCCUUCCGGUACUUUCAGCUGACAAAGAGCGCCUCCAAAAAAUUAGAGAAGAAUUACAGAAAUUUUCCGCAGAAGCGCAAUCGAAUUCGUUGAUGGAUCAAGAGGAGCUGCGCCAUCGUUACUAUAUUGGAAUAACUUCUGAAUAUCCGCAUUUAACCGACGGUACAAUAACAACUUUUGGAGACUUCAAGAAAGGAAAUGAUUCCCCGAGGAAACAACAGCAAGCUGGAAUUGAGCAAGAAAGAGGAUCAUUUUCAGGAUCUGAAGUAAAUCUUUCUACCCGUCUAUCCAGCAUGGAGCGGGCUAUGAGAGACGUCUCAAUCAAACUGAAAGACACUGUGGGUUUUGCAAUGCCGUCGGAGUCGAGCGCUGGAACGAAUCCUUCUAGCGAGCAAAGCAACAACUCGAUCGUUACGUCGCCGGAGUCGAGCGCCGACACGGAAGCCGUUCGUCAUCAGUCGUCGAAAUCGCCUCAAAUGAAUCAGGCAAAUGGACUGAACCAACCGGAUUUAAAAAAAACCGACUGUUGAAGAAGAAGAAACGAAUUCGGGAUCUUCAGUCGACUGCAUUUAAACCCAUUGUACUGUAGGAGAGAAACUCGAUGAGAAUGAGAACUGCAUACGGCCGUUUUUUCUGGAAGAGAUUAGCUAAUUUUCUGAUUUUGUUACGCUCUUUAUAAUUAUAAAUAAUACAUAAUUCAGGCAUUG
rnacentral:misc_RNA from 1 species